rnacentral:rRNA from 1 species
GCUAUACAUGCAAGUCGAGCGAAUGGAUUAAGAGCUUGCUCUUAUGAAGUUAGCGGCGGACGGGUGAGUAACACGUGGGUAACCUGCCCAUAAGACUGGGAUAACUCCGGGAAACCGGGGCUAAUACCGGAUAACAUUUUGAACCGCAUGGUUCGAAAUUGAAAGGCGGCUUCGGCUGUCACUUAUGGAUGGACCCGCGUCGCAUUAGCUAGUUGGUGAGGUAACGGCUCACCAAGGCAACGAUGCGUAGCCGACCUGAGAGGGUGAUCGGCCACACUGGGACUGAGACACGGCCCAGACUCCUACGGGAGGCAGCAGUAGGGAAUCUUCCGCAAUGGACGAAAGUCUGACGGAGCAACGCCGCGUGAGUGAUGAAGGCUUUCGGGUCGUAAAACUCUGUUGUUAGGGAAGAACAAGUGCUAGUUGAAUAAGCUGGCACCUUGACGGUACCUAACCAGAAAGCCACGGCUAACUACGUGCCAGCAGCCGCGGUAAUACGUAGGUGGCAAGCGUUAUCCGGAAUUAUUGGGCGUAAAGCGCGCGCAGGUGGUUUCUUAAGUCUGAUGUGAAAGCCCACGGCUCAACCGUGGAGGGUCAUUGGAAACUGGGAGACUUGAGUGCAGAAGAGGAAAGUGGAAUUCCAUGUGUAGCGGUGAAAUGCGUAGAGAUAUGGAGGAACACCAGUGGCGAAGGCGACUUUCUGGUCUGUAACUGACACUGAGGCGCGAAAGCGUGUGCGAGCAAACAGGAUUAGAUACUCUGGUAGUCCACGCCGUAAACGAUGAGUGCUAAGUGUUAGA